AACGAACGCUGGCGGCAGGCCUAACACAUGCAAGUCGAGCGCGCCCUUCGGGGUGAGCGGCGGAAGGGUGAGUAACGCGUGGGAACGUGCCCUUCUCUGCGGAAUAGCCUCGGGAAACUGAGAGUAAUACCGCAUACGCCCUAUGGGGGAAAGAUUUAUCGGAGAAGGAUCGGCCCGCGUUGGAUUAGGUAGUUGGUGGGGUAAUGGCCCACCAAGCCGACGAUCCAUAGCUGGUUUGAGAGGAUGAUCAGCCACACUGGGACUGAGACACGGCCCAGACUCCUACGGGAGGCAGCAGUGGGGAAUCUUAGACAAUGGGGGCAACCCUGAUCUAGCCAUGCCGCGUGAGUGAUGAAGGCCUUAGGGUUGUAAAGCUCUUUCAGCUGGGAAGAUAAUGACGGUACCAGCAGAAGAAGCCCCGGCUAACUCCGUG
rnacentral:rRNA from 1 species